GAAUCUCUUCAGAACCCUCCCAAAGCUAUGCCCAAAACCUAGAAUGCUUGUCUGCGCUCCUUCAAAUGCUGCAACCGAUGAGCUUCUUGCACGUGUUCUUGAUCGUGGAUUCAUUGAUGGAGAGAUGAAAGCGAGCUUCUUGCGCGUGUUCUUGAUCGUGGAUUCAUCGAUGGCGAGAUGAAAGUUUAUCGGCCUGAUGUUGCACGAGUCGGUGUGGAUUCCCAAACGCGUGCUGCCCAAGCAGUCUCUGUAGAGCGGAGAACUGAACAGCUUUUGAUG
rnacentral:lncRNA from 1 species